UGACGGUACCUGACUAAGAAGCCCCGGCUAACUACGUGCCAGCAGCCGCGGUAAUACGUAGGGGGCAAGCGUUAUCCGGAUUUACUGGGUGUAAAGGGAGCGUAGACGGCAUGGCAAGUCUGAAGUGAAAGCUCGCGGCUCAACCGCGGAACUGCUUUGGAAACUGUCAAGCUAGAGUACCGGAGGGGUAAGCGGAAUUCCUAGUGUAGCGGUGAAAUGCGUAGAUAUUAGGAAGAACACCGGUGGCGAAGGCGGCUUACUGGACGGUAACUGACGUUGAGGCUCGAAAGCGUGGGGAGCAAACAGGAUUAGAUACCCUG
rnacentral:rRNA from 1 species